CUUGAACAAAAACCUGAGGGUGAUGAAACUUUGUUUUUUCUUGAAGUCCCUAGACUGUGGUCAGUUCUAGGUUUUGUUCCUUGCUUUUCUUGUGCCUGGAAUGUUCUUUAAGCUCUGUUCUUGGCCAAAAACUUUGCCUCCUUUGUCUCAGCUGAAAGUUAAUCCACAGAGAUGACUUUCCUGAUCUCCAAGUUUAAAUUAGUAACAUUCCCAUCAUUCUCCACCAUUCACCACCGUUCACCUCUUUUAUUUUUUUCCUACUUUAAAUUUUCUAAUUAGUCCAUUAUUUAAAAUUAUUUUGUUCACGUAUUUAUUUGUUCACUAUUGGAUUUUCCCCUAGUAAAGUGUUAGUUCUGUGAGUGCAGAGACUUUUCUAUCUUUUUCCUUGAUGUCUUCCCAGGGCCUAGAAUAGAAGACUCUCAGUAGAUGCUUGUUCAGUGAACAAGUUGAUCCUGCAGGGAAAGAUUCCAGUGGAAUUCCUUUGAUGGUGGCAGCUUUAAGAGUAAAGACCCUAGGGUCUCUUUCAGGAGGGAAAAGGAACAUCUGUGGAAGCUGGC
rnacentral:lncRNA from 1 species